CCUACGGGAGGCAGCAGUAGGGAAUCUUUCACAAUGGGCGAAAGCCUGAUGGAGCAACGCCGCGUGCAGGAUGAAGGCCUUCGGGUUGUAAACUGCUUUUAUAAGCGAGAAAUAUGAUGGUAACUUAUGAAUAAGGAUCGGCUAACUACGUGCCAGCAGCCGCGGUCGUACGUAGGAUCCGAGCAUUAUCCGGAGUGACUGGGUGUAAAGAGUUGCGUAGGUGGCAUAAUAAGUAGCUAGUGAAAUCUGAUGGCUCAACCAUUCAGACUAUUAGCUAAACUGUUAAGCUCGAGACCGUUAGGGGUAACUGGAAUUUCUAGUGUAGGAGUGAAAUCCGUAGAUAUUAGAAGGAACACCAAUAGCGUAGGCAGGUUACUGGGACGGUUCUGACACUAAGGCACGAAAGCGUAGGGAGCAAACGGGAUUAGAUACCCGGGUAGUC
rnacentral:rRNA from 1 species